GAGGAAAUCUGCACAGAUUCAGCUCCCUUCUCUCCUAGUGAAAGACCAUGGGAAAAACAAUCUCUCUCACCUGCAUCGACUCCUUCUCAGCCUAAAUCUCCUUUAAGUCCAGCGCUCUCUCUUUCUUCUCUAGUGCCCUCUAAACACACAGGACGUUCCACACACAUUAGGAUUCCUGUGACGUCCUCAAAAGCCACGAAACGGCUCAGCUCCUCAUUGUCAACAUGGCAGUGUUCAUACUGCACUACAGUAAAUACAAUGCAGCAGGUUUUGUGUGAAACCUGUGAACGACCCCGGUUGUCAUCUGCUGCUCCGUCUCUACAGGAAGAGCAAUCACAGCCCU